AUCCAUCUGACUAAUCUCAAAUAGGACAAAACGUGCGUCCUGGAU
rnacentral:hammerhead_ribozyme from 1 species